rnacentral:rRNA from 1 species
GUGGAAAUAGCUCCAUCGACAUUGACCGUACCCUAAACCGACACAGGUGGACUGGUAGAGUAUACCAAGGCGCUUGAGAGAACUAUACUGAAGGAACUCGGCAAAUUGCAUGCGUAACUUCGGGAUAAGCAUGACUUCUAUCGGGGCAACCCUUUAGGAGUGGCACAAAAGAGGGGGUGGCGACUGUUUACUAAAAACACAGGGCUCUGCGAAGAUGCAAAUCGACGUAUAGGGUCUGACGCCUGCCCGGUGCCGGAAGGUUAAAAGGAGAGGUGCAAGCUUUGAAUUGAAGCCCCGGUAAACGGCGGCCGUAACAAUAACGGUCCUAAGGUAGCGAAAUUCCUUGUCGGGUAAGUUCCGACCUGCACGAAUGGCGUAACGACUUCCCCACUUUCUCCAGUAUAGACUCAGCGAAAUUGAAUUCCCCGUGAAGAUGCGGGGUUCCUGCGGUCAGACGGAAAGACCCCAUGCACCUUUACUAUAGCUUUACGCUGGCAUUUGUGUCGGCAUGUGCAGGAUAGGUGGUAGGCUUUGAAGCAAGGACGCUAGUUCGUGUGGAGCCAAAAGAUGAGAUACCACCCUUAUCGUCAUAGAUGUCUAACCGCGGCAUAACAGUGUCCGGGACAGCGUAUGGUGGGUAGUUUGACUGGGGCGGUCGCCUCCCAAAGAGUAACGGAGGCGCGCGAUGGUGGGCUCAGAACGGUCGGAAAUCGUUCGACGAGUGCAAUGGCAUAAGCCUGCCUGACUGCGAGACCGACAGGUCGAGCAGAGACGAAAGUCGGUCAUAGUGAUCCGGUGGUCCCGCGUGGAAGGGCCAUCGCUCAACGAAUAAAAGGUACGCUGGGGAUAACAGGCUGAUGAUGCCCAAGAGUCCAUAUCGACGGCAUCGUUUGGCACCUCGAUGUCGGCUCAUCACAUCCUGGGGCUGGAGCAGGUCCCAAGGGUAUGGCUGUUCGCCAUUUAAAGUGGUACGUGAGCUGGGUUUAGAACGUCGUGAGACAGUUCGGUCCCUAUCUGCCGUGGGUGUAGGAAUAUUGAGAAGAGCUGACCCUAGUACGAGAGGACCGGGUUGGACGAAUCUCUGGUGGACCUGUUGUGGCGCCAGCCGCAUUGCAGGGUAGCUAAAUUCGGACGGGAUAACUGCUGAAAGCAUCUAAGCAGGAAGCCUCCUUCAAAACUAGUAUUCCCUUGAGAGCCGUGGAAGACCACCACGUCGAUAGGCCGGGUGUGGAAGCGCAGCAAUGUGUGAAGCUUACCGGUACUAAUAGCUCGAU